UACGUAGGUGGCAAGCGUUAUCCGGAUUUACUGGGUGUAAAGGGCGUGUAGGCGGGAUGGUAAGUCAGAUGUGAAAACUAUGGGCUCAACCCAUGGCCUGCAUUUGAAACUAUCGUUCUUGAGUGUUGGAGAGGCAGGCGGAAUUCCGUGUGUAGCGGUGAAAUGCGUAGAUAUACGGAGGAACACCAGUGGCGAAGGCAGCAUACCGGCGCCCGACUGACGCUGAGGCACGAAAGUGCGGGUAUCGAACAGG
rnacentral:rRNA from 1 species